CAUGUCUUUUUGUAAAUUAUUUAAAGUCUAAUCUGCCCACUGAAUGUUUUAAAGGGCCGCAGUAAUCUGACUGUGCAAAGGUAGCAUAAUCAUUUGUCUUUUAAUUGAAGGCUAGUAUGAAUGAUUGGACGAGGUAAAUACUGUCUCAUUAUUAUAAUAAUAAAAAUUUAGCUUUUUAGUUAAAAGGCUAAGAUUCUGUUGGAGGACGAGAAGACCCUAUAGAUCUUUAUAUUUUUGGGUUUAUUUUUAUUUUGGUUUUAUAAUUUUUUAAUAAAUUUAUAAAUAUUUUGUUGGGGUGACAUGAAAAUUAAAUAAACUUUUCAUAUUUUAUAAUACAUUGAUUAAUGAUUUUAUGAUCCAUUAUUAUUGAUUACAAGAAUAAGUUACCUUAGGGAUAACAGCGUUAUUUUAUUGGAGAGUUCAUAUUGAUAAUAAAGUUUGCGACCUC
rnacentral:rRNA from 1 species